CGCAAUUGGUAGCGCACCGCUCUUGUAAAGCGGGGGUUACGGGUUCGAGUCCCGUAGUCG
rnacentral:tRNA from 1 species